rnacentral:rRNA from 1 species
UGGGGAAUAUUGGACAAUGGGCGAAAGCCUGACCCAGCAACGCCGCGUGAAGGAUGAAGUAUUUCGGUAUGUAAACUUCGUAAGAAUAGGAAGAAUAAAUGACGGUACUAUUUGUAAGGUCCGGCUAACUACGUGCCAGCAGCCGCGGUAAUACGUAGGGACCAAGCGUUGUUCGGAUUUACUGGGCGUAAAGGGCGCGUAGGCGGUGUGUCAAGUCAGUUGUGAAAUCUCCGAGCUUAACUCGGAACGGUCAACUGAUACUGUCACACUAGAGUACAGAAGGGGCAAUCGGAAUUCUUGGUGUAGCGGUGAAAUGCGUAGAUAUCAAGAGGAACACCUGAGGCGAAGGCGGGUUGCUGGGCUGAUACUGACGCUGAGGCGCGAAAGCUAGGGUAGCAAACGGGAUUAGAUACCCUCGUAGUCCCUGAGCGGGCUGGCAAGGCG